ACAUGGAUACAACACAAUGUUAAUGCAUCAUAUCCCAUUAGAACUUUGCAUUUAAGUUCUUUUGGGAUAUAGUAGUACUGGGAUGGGUGACCACUUAGGAAAUACUAGUGUUUUACAUGCC
rnacentral:rRNA from 1 species